rnacentral:rRNA from 1 species
UACCAGCUCUCCGAGUGGUGGGGACGAUUAUUGGGCUUAAAGCGCUCGUAGCCGGCUUAACAAGUCUUCCGUUAAAUCCAACGAUCUAAUCGUUGGUCUGCGGGAGAUACUGUUGGGCUAGGAGGCGGGAGAAGCCGACGGUAUUCUCGGGGUAGGGGUGAAAUCCUGUAAUCCCGGGAGGACCACCAGUGGCGAAGGCGGUCGGCUAGAACGCGCUCGACGGUGAGGGACGAAAGCUGGGGGAGCGAACCGGAUUAGAAACCCGGAUAGUCCCAGCUGUAAACGAUGCGGGCUAGGUGUUGGGGUGGCCAUGAGCCACUUCAGUGCCGCAUGGAAGCAAUUAAGCCCGCCGCCUGGGGAGUACGGCCGCAAGGCUGAAACUUAAAGGAAUUGGCGGGGAGCACCACAAGGCGUGAAGCUUGCGGUUU